rnacentral:piRNA from 1 species
UGAUUUUAGGUACACGUUGUUUGGUACACUC